GACGAACGCUGGCGGCGUGCCUAAUACAUGCAAGUAGAACGCUGAAGGAGGAGCUUGCUUCUCUGGAUGAGUUGCGAACGGGUGAGUAACGCGUAGGUAACCUGCCUGGUAGCGGGGGAUAACUAUUGGAAACGAUAGCUAAUACCGCAUAACAGUAGAUAUCGCAUGAUAUCUACUUGAAAGGUGCAAUUGCAUCACUACCAGAUGGACCUGCGUUGUAUUAGCUAGUUGGUGAGGUAACGGCUCACCAAGGCGACGAUACAUAGCCGACCUGAGAGGGUGAUCGGCCACACUGGGACUGAGACACGGCCCAGACUCCUACGGGAGGUAGCAGUAGGGAAUCUUCGGCAAUGGACGGAAGUCUGACCGAGCAACGCCGCGUGAGUGAAGAAGGUUUUCGGAUCGUAAAGCUCUGUUGUAAGAGAAGAACGAGUGUGAGAGUGGAAAGUUCACACUGUGACGGUAUCUUACCAGAAAGGGACGGCUAACUACGUG
rnacentral:rRNA from 1 species